rnacentral:rRNA from 1 species
UACGAAGGGUGCAAGCGUUACUCGGAAUUACUGGGCGUAAAGGGUGCGUAGGUGGUUUGUUAAGUCUGCUGUGAAAUCCCCGGGCUCAACCUGGGAAUGGCAGUGGAUACUGGCAAGCUAGAGUGCGGUAGAGGGUAGUGGAAUUCCCGGUGUAGCAGUGAAAUGCGUAGAGAUCGGGAGGAACACCAGUGGCGAAGGCGGCUACCUGGACCAGCACUGACACUGAAGCACAAAAAGCGUGGGGAGCAAACAGG